CUUAAACUAUUCUUUG
rnacentral:tRNA from 1 species